rnacentral:rRNA from 1 species
GGUAAACGGAAAAGACCCGAAAUUUCCGAAAGGGGAGAUUCACGUCUUCUCGCUGACUCAACUCCCCGUCCAACGUCGACGGUUCUAUGCCUCAUUCGAACUUGUUCGGAGCGAGUGGUGGAAUCGCCGUGGUUGGGGUUGUGGAUUCGCGGCAGACCGCACUUCUCCCCUAGUAGGACGUCGUGACCCGUCCGGUCAUGGUCUAAGAGUGUGGUUGGGAGACUGUUCGUGCUACUCCGGUUGUCACGAGCAGACCUUCGCAUUUCUGGCCAUGAAAGCUCCGGUCGGUAUCAAAAGACAGUGUUGAACCGCUCCGCUGAGGGAGAAAUCCCUUUUCGAGAGCGCGAUUGGUCCUUGGCAAGGUGUUGAGUCGCGUUUGUCAAGUCGGGCCUUUGUCCGUCUGACUGCUCUCGCGCCUGUUGGUUGAGGUACUCUAUCGCCGGUUGAAAGAAAUGGCACUAGUCUACGGCGAAUCAGUUUUGGGCUCUUGUCCGACCCGUCUUGAAACACGGACCAAGGAGUUUAGCGUGUGCGCGAGUCAUUGAGUGAUAAAACUCAAAGGCGUAAUGAAAGUGAAGGGAACUUUACGUUUCUGAGGGAGGAUGAGUGUGCGCUUCGCGGUGCCGCUCCGCACUCCCGGGGCGUCUCUAUCUCAUUGCGAGAGGAGGCGCACCUAGAGCGUACACGCUGAUACCCGAAAGAUGGUGAACUAUGCCUGGCCAGGACGAAGCCAGGGGAAACCCUGGUGGAGGUCCGCAGCGAUUCUGACGUGCAAAUCGAUCGUCGGAGCUGGGUUUAGGGGCGAAAGACCAAUCGAACCAUCUAGUAGCUGGUUCCCUCUGAAGUUUCCCUCAGGAUAGCUUGCGCUCGGACGAGACGAGUCUCAUCCGGUAGAGCGAAUGAUUAGAGGCCUUGGGGUCGAAACGACCUCAACCUAUUCUCAAACUCCAAAUAGAUUGAGAACCCUGGCUUUCUUAAACUAUGAAGCCAAGGGGUUUCGGAUCAGAGUGCCAAGUGGGCCAAUUUUGGUAAGCAGAACUGGCGCUGUGGGAUGAACCAAACGCGGAGUUAAGGCGCCUCAAUCGACGCUCAUGUGAGACCAUGAAAGGCGUUGGUUGCUUAAGACAGCAGGACGGUGGCCAUGGAAGUCGGAAUCCGCUAAGGAGUGUGUAACAACUCACCUGCCGAAGCAACUAGCCCUGAAAAUGGAUGGCGCUGUAGCGUCGUGCCUAUACUCCGCCGUCAACGGCAACGCAGGCAGCUCUCUCACGGGAGCGGCGCUGUUAAGCCUUGACGAGUAAGAGGGCCGCGGCGACGUGCGCAGAAGGGUUUUGGGCGCGAGCCUGCCUGGAGCCGUCGUCGGUGCAGAUCUUGGUGGUAGUAGCAAAUACUCCAGCGAGGCCCUGGAGGACUGAUGUGGAGAAGGGUUUCUUGUGAACAGCUGUUGCACAAGAGUCAGUCGAUCCUAAGCCCUAGGAGAAAUCCGAAGCGAUGGGUUGCCGUUAAAUGUCACAAGCUUGAUGUUGGCACCAUUUGGGCGAAAGGGAAUCUGGUUCCUAUUCCAGAACCUGGCAGUGGAACCGUUCCAAAUCGGGCUCUCAUUGAGAACUCGUCAGGGCAACCUGAAAAGACCCGGAGACGCCGUCGGGAGAUUCAGGGAGAGUUGUCUCUUCUCUAUAAGCGAUCGAGUUCCCUGGAAACCUCUAGCAGGGAGAUAGGGUUUGGAUCGCGAAGAGCACCGCAGUUACGGCGGUGUCCGAAUCUUCCCCACGGACCUUGAAAAUCCGGGAGAGGGCCACGAGGAACCCCACGCCAGAUCGUACCCAUAUCCGCAGCAGGUC